CCGCUGCCCGUGGCGCGGUGGGACAGGUGCCAGCGAUGCUCUCUGCCGGCGAGGUUGCCUCACGGCCGCCACCCCCAGCAGGGCUGCGGGGGGAAGGCAGCAGGGCCCUUCCCGUAAAGGGCGGCGGAGGGUUUGUCCCCAGGGACUUGGCGAGGACGCGGGUGCUCCGUGAGGCCUCAGCACACGCUGAGCCUCGCUCCCAGUGCGACGCGAGGCCCCUUCUCACACGGAUCACUGCCCCCAGGCUCAGCCCCGUGCUGCGCGGGCCCGGCUCACCGGAGCCUGGAGAGCAAGCGCUGUACGCUGGGCUCCUUCGCCAGGGCCAGAUCCUACCCCCAACUGGCAAGUGGAGUGGUGCAGAUAAGUCUGUACCACAUCAUGGGGAUCUUUAUGUAAACUGAGGCUUCUUACCAAGAUAUACUAUGGAACUGAGAUACUACCACACCAGCCAGACUAUCCGCAGUAAAAUAUGUGGAGACCUCAACAGGAGAGAAACAGAUGGGAGGAGUCACUGUUUCUAGCACAGCCCCAAGGCAUCCCUGUUCUCUUGUUCAGGACUCCUUUGGUUACUAUCUCGGCUUUCCAGCUAUUCAGAGAACAGCUUGAUUUUCCUCGCAGACCUGCAGUACUGCCCUAAAUUGGACAGCAAGACUCCUUGGAGAAAGCAAGUAGCUUCAGUCAUGAGAACUGCUCUGCCUGACUAAACAGAUCUUGCAGUGGGCACAACAAGAGGUCAGAAUAGCUCAUUCAGUUCAACUCCCUAAAUAAUACCACCAGGCUUAGAUGGAGAGCCAUAAAUUGGUGGCCUAGCGCACUCAAGAAGCCAACCCAGAAGUAAUCAGCAAAGCUUUCUAUUCAAAUAUAACAACAGUAUCUAGAAAUGGAGAAACAGGAAGCUUUUUAGAGCUUUCAGUCUAGUCCAGUCCCAUGUCUCCCAACAGGCUUUCCGAGUUCCUUUGAUUGGAAAGGGUUUCUUUGUGCUGCAAAGUCCAACAAGGGUUAAUUUAUAUUUGUCUUGGACCUAGCAGUCCCUGGAGACUCUGCUUUGGGAUUGUCCUCUCUCAUUCAUCACACUGGAUUUCCAGCAGUUGGCUUAAGUGAGAAAGAAAAUGAAUAAACAUCCUUUAAUCUAAAAAAACUGCAAUGUGUUAAACUUUGGCGAUUAACUUCAAUUUCUUGCUUGACUUGUUUGAAAGUGAAGCCAGUAGUGGAACUAAGGGUGAAGAGCAGCAGAGGGUGUAUUAUCCAGACAUCUUCCUAGAUACUUCAUUAAAUGAUGGAAGUUAAUGGCAUCUUUAAGGACAUUCACACUGUAUAGACAGAAUAGGUGUGGAUCUAUACUAUAUUACAGACACCGUGCUACUAUUUAUUUCUGUUAAAGUUCAAUCAUUUGCACCUAAUCAUUUUCAAUGAAUGCUUAAUAUUUUUCCUCUUUUAGAAGGAGAAAUGAUUAUUUCCAUAUCUCCCCCUGGUGUGGUAAUGGCAAAACAUUUCAUAAGGAAAGCCUGCAGAUUCAUAUAAUAUUAGUUUCUUAGUUAAAUAAAUAAUUGCAGAUACAUCAAUGAAUUGGAUUUUUCUAUCUUGAAUAUUCAUACAUUAGUGUUCUCACUGAAGUCAAUAAACAGGAUUUUGAAAAAUGGGCCUUCCUCUUGCUUUGUGUUUCAUCCUGGACUUCCACAAAGGCAAUUUCAGGAUAGGGGCCUAAGAGGAAAAAAUGAUGAAGCAGAAAUGCAGAGAAGAAAGAGGAGAGAAAGGAGAUGGAGAGUUUGUUCUUUCCAUUAAUAUUAAACUGUCCAUUUCCCAGCUGCAUGCUCAUGAAAAGGAGACUUCUUGGUGAUUACCUAGUAAUUCAAACCUUACAAACCUACCUCAGAACACACAAAGACAAGGUAAAAAAAGGAUUUUUUUAUUGCAGUUUCAGGAAAUCUGAUCCACAGCAGAGCUUGAAGAAUUCACUAAGCUUUUGAACACAUAUGCAGACUGGUAUCAAUUUCUUUUUUUAUUUCUUCCUUACCAGAUGAACAAUGUAUAUGAACAAUAUAGUGUGUGUGUAUGUGUGUGUGUGUGUGUGUGUGUGUGUGUGUGUAAACAUGAGUAACUUUUAUAAAUGGAAAUGCCAAAGAAUACAAGUAAUAAUCUGGUUUCUAUACAAGGCUCUGUCUCACAAAACAAUCUGCUGCACAAAAACAAAACAAACCUCUAAAACUAUAUUCAUGUGGUAACACUACAGAGUAUGCUUGCCUUUUACCUGUUUACCUAGUCAAAAUCCUAGUCUAGAAAUCAAGAAAUAUUCAAUUAAAGAUGAACCUACAUAGGGUAUUAUCUUCGCAGUCUCUCUGUACUGUUGUCAUAGAAGACAUUUAGACAUUUACAGUCAAAGGGUUCCCCUCCCAAGGUAGUGUAUUCUCAAUGCUGUGACACUGCCUCUGCCCCGUUACAACCCUGCUUUACUGUUCUUUAGUUAUAGAGAACAGAGAAUGAAGGGUUGCAAUUUGGUUUUCCUGAUGUAAUUGUGUUUGUAGCGUGCGGUUGUAACAGGGACUGAAUUUGCUAUAGAACUCUGUUCUUCAUAUCUCCCAGCUACCCAUGAAAAUCAGAAGAAUAGCGACAAUGUAAGUUCUGCAGUGCGUAUUACCUGAACUGAGAAAAAAAAGAUUCCAUAUACUUUUGGUUCAGUGAAAGCCUCUGUGAGCAGUAGGCAAUAUAUUCUUACUUUUUUUUGUCAUGAUUCCAUAUACUGUCAAGCAUUUUAAUCAAUUUUACUUGUUAUUUUGCUGGAUUUUUUGGUAUGCUUUGUCGAUUAUAUUCCACAGUACUUUUGCUUAUUUGUAUAUCUGAUCUGUAUGUGAUCUGUUGGAAGUUUAAGAGAAACAGAACAUAUACAAGUACAAAUCUCUUCAAGUGUUUUAUUAAUCAGUACAUUUCUGAAUGAAUAACAUUGUG